rnacentral:lncRNA from 1 species
CUCAUAUUGUGCUUCUGUAUGGAAGACCUUCCUGUGACCUAGUAGACUAAUCUGAUGGAUGAUGGAUGUACUACGAUUUCCAGAGCACAUACCACCAACACCUUCACCUGGAAGGUUACGCACUCCAAUACUUACAGGACCCAGGCAAGUAAUAUAACUAAGCAUAGGUCAAUUGGGGACCAGGAAAAUUGAAGAAAAAACACUCUUUUGUGAUAAUGGGUAUAUGGUACUAUGUUGCCAGACUUUCCUUUUUUUUUUUUUCGAAUUUAGGAAUCUAAAUUAUUUGAUUUGAAUAUUAUCUAAUAUUCAAAAAUUGGAUAAUUAAUUUAAAUAUUAAAUAACUCUCAUAGAUCAAAUGAACAAAUUAAAACACAAAUCAGACACAUAUACACACAUGAACAGCUCAGCACUGACUCUUGAGGAAUCGGUCUGUGUGUGGAAUGUCCCCUUGGUACACCAAACUGAUGCCCGCCCGUGGUUACUCUGGGAACAGGAGUGGGAGUAAGUGGGGACUUUUACAUUUUUCUCAGUAUACUUUCCUAUUGUUUGAAUCUUUGACAAUGAGAACACAUUCAUGUACUAUUUUUACAAUUAUUUGAGAAAACCUAUAGUCUGAAAACUCCAAGAAAGACUGCAUUUAGGAAUUGAAAGACAUUUAAGAAUGAUUGGAGGCUGACAAAUUGAUUGCAUGCAAGAUAGACACUCCAUCAAGAAAAAAAAGAAAGAAAGAACUUGGAAAAAGCAGAAAAAGAUCCAAAGGACUAUCAAUUCAUAAAAUUUAAACAGGAUCCUGUAAAAAUCAGACAACAUGAAAGAGCUCUUAGAAAUUAAAAGUAAUAAUAGAAACAAUAAAAGCAAUAAUAGAAACAAUAACAUUCCAAAGAAAUGUUCGAUAUUAAAGUAGUAAUACCAACUACUUGGAAGGCUGAGACAGGAAAAUUGUGACAAGUUCUCCAUGGAGCCAGCCUGGCUCCAUGGAGAACUUGUCUCAAAAAAACAAAACAAAACAAUAAACACAAAGUAAACAAAAUUUUUAAAAAAGUUAAAGUUGGUAAAAUCUCAUGGCAAAUUCUUAUUAUGAAUGAAGUUAGCAUCUCUUAGAUAUUUAAGAGCCAUUUAUUUUUCUUUUUCUCUGGACUCUGAUUAUGUCCUUUCCCCACAUUUCUACUAGUUUUUGACCUUUUCCUUGUUGAUUUCUAAGAGCUCUUUACAUUUUAGGAAAAAUAAUUGUUCAUGUUACAAUUUUGGGGGGCAGUGGGUGGAGUUUCUUUUGUCCUUAAUAUUCUGCUAAGUUUUUGAUCAUAUGUAGUAAGAUUUAUAAAUAUUCCCUUUUAUAGAUUCUGGGGUUAUAAUUAGAUUCUCCCCACUCAAAAAUUAUAAUUCAUUUAUUUUUCAUGUUUUCUUCUAAUAACUUUAAGAUUUUAUUUUCUACCUUUAAAUCUUUGAUCCAUUUAGAAUAUAUCCACAUAUAUCUUUUCCAGAUGCGUACAAAAAUACCCUAACUUUAUUUAUUAACUACUUGACACAAUUAAAUAGAUGUAUUACCAUGAUUAAAAAAAAAAAUCAAUGGUAGAGAAGCCGCCCUGAUAUCCCAAGGAGGAGAGAGAAGGGAGGAAGUGUAAAGGUCACAUCCUUUCCUCCAGCCCUGUGUGGCCACUCCUACUCAGGUGGCCAUCUCUGAAGUGGUAUCAUGCCCCAGGGAGGUUUUGUCAGGGGGGGGAAACUUGACUGCAAACCAUAAAACAAAAAUGAUCCUGAGUCAUCGAAGCCCCUGAGGGUCCCAGUCAGGGGAUACUGGCCAUGCUCAGACACUGGACAAGUGAGUUGGAUACCAGACCUGGGAGGGAGACAGCAGGAACAGCUCUGGGAAGUGGUGGAAUUCCCUGCCCGGGGAUGACUCAGCGUGAACAAACUUCCUGUGUGUCUGUGUUUAGGCUUCUAAUCCCUGGGAGUGAGCGUCAGUUGGCCGGGCUUGGUCACUGGCCUCUUCCCUGUCAUAGCAGUCCUGGUCCUUGGAUUAGUGGAACACCAGAACCAUGUGGGCGGGGUGGGGGGGCCCAGUUUAUCCAAGAAGAAAUGCGGAGCAACAAAGCCAAACAAAGCCUGGUAGCAGCUGCCCACAACAUUUGUAAAAAUAGUAACAAUCAAAAAUAGCAACUAUUUGCUGACUGUUUUCCUAGAGGCCCGGGAUUGUGUUAAAUAUUUUAUCUCAGUUAUCUUCUUUUUUAAAAAAAUUUGUUCCAAUUAAUUUUAUAUAUGACAGUGGAAUGUACUUUGAUAUUUCAUAUAUAGGUGGAGUAUAAUUUCUCAUUCUUCUGGUUGUACGUAAUGUGGAAUCCCACUGGUCGUAUAGUUAGUUAUACAUGUACAUAGGGCAAUAAUGUCUGGUUCAUUCUACUCUCCUUCCUACCCCCACAUCACCUCCCCUCCUUCACAUCCUCUACCUAAAAUACCAGCUCUGUGAAGUGGGUACCGUUCUUCCCUUUGACAGGUGAGGAAACUAAGGCUAAAGGGAGAAUAAGGGGCUUCUCUAAGACACAGCUCGUCAAUGGCAUAACCAGGGCACAAACCUGAACAUGUUAGCCCCAACCCAGCCUCCUGCCUUGUAACCAUGAGGUGACAUUGCCCUCUGAGGAAGAGACUGAGCUCUGAAUGUUGUGCCUCUGACCUCCACAGACUUUAAACAGUAGCCUAGGCUUGCGCUGCCACCCAGGGUACCCCUUCAUGUCCCCAUCAACCCUCUGGGUGAUUGUUGCUGUUCUCAUGGGAGAGAGGCUCACAGCAAGAAGGACAAAGCCUUCUCAUUCAUUCUUGCCUUACCAUCUUCAGCAAAAGUCCUCUGGGUUGGGCCAUUUGAGCAUAGCAGGUUGCCGUCUCUUGCUGCAUGCGUAGAUGCCCCUUGGACCCUGCAGUCAAUGUCUGGACGGUCUAUGUAACUUCUCUCUCUUUCCUUGGGUUGGGGCUCCUCUACAUUGGCUACACUAUGUGGGACAUUGAGUGAUGGAUGGCCUUUGUCUCAGUGGUUUUAUUCACCCACAUUCUAGGUCAAUGACUAUGCAUUAAUAGUUCAUACACACAAACACACUUCCCUCUUUCCACCUGCCCUGGAGUCUCUUCAGCUGUGCCUGGUGCUGCAUCUAAUCCUCAUCUUGUAACCCGCACCACACAACAUCCUAGUCAGUGCCAGCAAGGGUUUCCUGGAGGACUAGGUGUCCAGGAGUGUGUGCGCUCCUGUAGGCCACACCCAAGCUGCAAAGUCUAACCCCUUCAUGCUGCAAAGAUCUUCAAAUUCAGCCAUUCCGUGGCACUUUGGGGUGGGGGGUUGUCACCUACCUUGUUGGGAGGACAUUCAAGUGGACCAAGAGGUCCACAGCAAGAGUAGAACCUGAUAGUCAGGUGAGUGAGCCAUUUUGGAAGCAGGUCCUCCAGAUGAUCACAGCCUUAGUUGAUGUCUUAGCUGUGACCUCCUGAGAGUCCCCAAACCAGAACUGCCAGCUGAGGCAGUCCUGAUCCCUGACCCACAGACACUGUGAAGAUAAUAAAUGUUCAGCAUUGUUGAAUCCACUGUGUUUUGGGGAUAAUUUGUUACACGGAGAUAGAGAACUAACAUAAAUUCCAAUUUACCCAGCGCAUUUAAAAUAUGACUUGCUUUUUCAGAAUUUGAUAUACUUUCAACCUUAUAGGAAAGUGCUACUAUAAAUUGAAUUACAACUGCAGAUAUAUAAAUAGGGGGAAGGGGUCUGGAGACAUAAAAUGUGAAAAAUUGUCAUAGUCCCCAACCUGGCCUUCAUCUUGAGGCUGGGGAAUGUCAUUUGGAGGCAGUGAGAGCCUGGGAGCAGCAUGCGUCAGCCAUGAUGAUGAACAAAGGCUGGAGCCCUGGCUCAGUGGCACUUGCUCAGUGAAUGCACUGGUCCUCUGGUUCAAUUGCCCGUCAUUGGUUUAUUAACGGUGCUGGUGCAUAAUGAAGUGCAGGACUGGGGCGGGCUCCGCAGCUCCCAAUCUGGAUAUAACAAAGGCUGCAGCUGCUGUUGCUGUCUUCACUUAACUUCACAGUGACCUUAAAUUAUAUCCCCUAGUGGUGACACAGCCAGAAUAGUAUACCGUUGGGGAUGUUAAUUAACCCCCUACAGGAUACACAAGAUAGAAAAUAACCACUCAGAGAGCGACACAGGCUCCCGCACCUCUCCAGAUUCACGCAGCCACUGUCCCUCUGUAGCAUGUAUCUAUUUACCACUGUGAAUGGAGCCAGACAAGAGGCUUUGGGGCCUUCCAGUGCCUGCCCUUCUGCUACCAAGAGUCACCAACCAAGGCCUGCAGACUUGAUGGUACAGAGAGGUAUUUGGUCCAUAGAACCCAUUCCUGCUCUUAGUGUCCGCUGCCUGUGUGGCUUACAGAGGUGCAAAUAAGGCCAUGCUGAGCGGCCUUUGGGCUAUUUGAGAAACUUGACCCUCAUGAGAAUCGUUGGAUUGGGUUUUGGCAGGAUGAUUGCAAGUUCUCCUUUGGCUCAAAUUCUCUUAGUCCAUCAGAUAAUGGGAGGAAAAGUAGGUGAGGCUUUCUGUCAGCCUUGUUUAACAGGUGAAAGCAAAAAAGCCACAAAAAGGGGAUGUUUACGAGGACUGUGAAGAGGAAGUCCAAGUUUCCUGCAGACUUUAUUUGCUAGUGAUAAUAAUAAUAACAAUUAUAAUAGCAGAUGAUGUUUAUUGAGCAUUUGCUCUCUGCCAAUGGCAUGCUAAGCAUUUGUCAUCUAUUUUCCCCUAUAAGGAAAGUAUUGCUUUUAUCCCAUUGUAUCAUUGAAGAGGCUGAGGUUCAGGAUGGGAAGUUAUUCUAGGUGAUAUGGCUGAAAUAGAGUCUCUCUCCAAGUCUGCCCACCAAAGAACUUUUGUUUUCCCUUCAGUGUUCCCAUGAUGAGGCUUUGAUUUUCCCUGGCUGGUGGCUGGUGAUGAUACAUUUCCUAAUAUUAAUAGGCUGAUCAUUGAUUUUGCCAUCUCUCAUCUGUGGGAGUUUGCUCUACCCCUUACAUCUGUAAUGGACCUAAGAAAUAUCUAGCACCACAGUAGGCAAUCAGCUCAAGGUUGGUCUGAACUUGAUGUCAUGGAAACAAGGGACUAUUAAACUGGUAAUUGGGAUAAAGUAUCAACACCAUUAUCAAACAACAUUUAUUGAUAUACCAGUAAGCAAGUAACAAGUAAUGUCUGUGAGGCAUCAAGAAAUCAUACUAUCUAAUGUAUUAUGUCUGAGUGUCUAAACCAGACAUACUCAAACUUUAGCACAAAUGAUGAUGGCAUGGAGUUAUUAUUAAAAAGACACUUAAGUCAGACUUAUCCCUUGAAAUUCAGGUCCUUGCUGAACAUGAACAUCUUCAUAUUUGAGGAUUUCACUGUUUAUUCUGAUUUAUACCUAAGGCUGAAAGCCAGUGUCUUUGUGGAAUACAGAGUCUAUGGAGAAUGCACAAGAACAUUAAAAGGAAACUAUAAUUUAAAAGUAAAAUUGCUAUAUUUUUACUUGCAUCUUGUGUUCUUUUUCAACACAACAGAGUGGAUUCACCUAUGGAAGAACUAAUGUUUGUUGGACAGUCUAAAUGCAUGUAGCACAUUACAUUCCAUAGCAUUCAAAGUCCAAGCAGGAAAAAAACAAACAAGCUGAAAUCAUGCUAGUAUUUCAACCAGAGAGUAUUUAAUACAGUGUAUGGAUUUCACAGAUGUUGGAACAUCCAAAAGGGAGAAGUGAAAUUAGCAACUACAAGAAGCAAUCUUAGGGCUGGAGCGACAGAAGUAGAGGUAUAACAAGAACCUCAGAGUCCAGAGGAAGGUCCACCUUAGAAGCUGAACUGCUGUAAGAACAUCAAGUAUUUGGUACUGAACUGCCAAUGAGCCACUAUGUGGCUGGUGAUAGGAGAGUGGCUUGACCCCAAGGCUAGAAUAUCAAAAGAUGCUAGAAUUGUAGCUGUCUAAAACAGGUGCAAGCAGGGAGAGAUUCCUUUCUUUUCUCCUGCCUUCCAAUCUUCCAGUUGUACCUGCCAAUUGCAGACCAGAACUGGAAAUUGGUUUGCCAGGGAAUUCAUAAUUUUCAGCCUCCAAGGUCCCAGUAUCACCACUUGCAAGACAGAAGGGUACACAUUGAACUGAGAGAGAGUAGAUAAUGGCAAGCACACAUUAGUCAAUCUCAAUUCAUACUCUGUAACCCUGGGAAGAGUAAGUAGAAGAACCAAAAUUCAACCUGAAGAAUCUAAUACCAGAAUCUUUGCUCUUCCUAUCGCAGUAAUUUUUAAAUGCUAUAAUUCAGUUUGUACUUAUACUUUAUCCUUGACUGUUUUCUCUGAACAUUUAUUUUGUACUGGCUGUGUACCAGGUCCUAAGUUAAAUGCUUAGGUUAUGUUUAUCCUGCUUAAUUUUUAAAAUGGUGCAGAUAAUAUUGGUGCAAAUUUGCUCACUAAACAAUCAAAUGAAAACAUUAAGGAAUAAAGCCUGUUUCUUGAAUUGGGAAAUUGUGUGUGUAUGUGUGUGUGUGUGUGUGUGUGUGUAAAUAUUAAUUAAGACCAUUCUGGUGAAAAAUACCAUGAUUAAAGAAUAUUGUCCUAAAUUAUUCAGCAUAUGCUUUUUUGAUAAAAUUCAAUUAAUUUCAGAGUAUAAUUGUUAAAUAUAUAUUUUUGUGUUCAGCACUAGAGAUCCAGGAGACACAAGAAAAAUACUCAACAAGGGUCUUGUUCUUAAGAAGCCUACUGUUUAGGUCUGAAAAACAGCAGGAUGCAUCAUGAAAACAUAAAUGUGGGGAAUGCUUGGGGAAAUCAUUGUAAGCUGUAGUUGUCAGGGAAGGGUUAGGAAAAGACAUGCCACUUGAGGGCAUAGUGAAGGUAGCACAGGUGUGGAGAAGUGGAUAGAACUUUCCCUGUUGGGGAAGAGUGUGAGUAAAGGCUUAGAGGUGGGGCACUAACCCAGCAUUUUGAAUGACAGUGAUGGGAGCAUUGGUGAGAGAAGCAAUGCCAAGUUAGCUGGGGCGGGGGGUGGGGUGGGCUGGAUCACAGCUGAAUUUCCCAAUGUCAUUCUCUCUCUCUCUUUUUUUUAAGUCGUAGAAGUUUAAGCUGGGCAUAUGGCCAGCCUCCCUUGCAGCUAGGCAUGAUGGUGCAACUAGAUUCUGGCUAAUGGGAUAUCAGCAGAAGUGUUAUGUGAAAUUCCCAGGUUCACAUGUUUAAAGGGAAAUGGAUUUGCCUUCCACUCCCUUUCUCUUUCCUUUUUUCUGCAGGCCAGAGGGUGGACAUAGUAUUGAACUUUCCUGGAUUGUAUGGAUAAGGAUGAGCAGAGAAACAAUCUGGAAGAAGUCUGGUUUCCCAACACUGACAAACUGCCCUACCAGCCCUGGACUACUAGAAUAAGAAAGAAGCAAGAGGAAGAUUCCAUCUGUGAGGCACAGGGGAGUUAUUUUCUCUCAGGCACCCAUAGCACUGAAUUGAAGAUUCUGGCAUUUGUCCAUCUGAAGUAGAAAUAGUUCCUCCAAAUGUAACUUUACCUUAUCCACACAUUUGCAUGAUUGCUACAUGGAAUGUCAUUUGGGAAGACCUUUUAGAGAAUGGGUACAACAGUGGGUGGAACAUUUUUUUUCUCCAUAUGUCAGGUAGGGACACUCUAAGUCUUUGGCCAAACACGUUCAGAAGGAAUCAGGGGCUUGCUGCAAAUCCAGAAAGCUGCUGUAAGAUCUUACAGUUGGUGUGGGGGAGGUAUUAAAAAACACUAAUAUUUCUGGAAUUGAAUGCAUAAAAGAUACCAUAACUUAGAACAAAUUGCUUUUGAAAUUAAAUACAUCUCUUGCAGAUGGCCUGACCUGGCUUUUUGGUUGCCUCUUUUCAAAAUAAUCCUCAUUAAAGGAUGAGUCAUUGCAUUGGCUCCAAAUUUUCAGCCUCUUUCUUUUCCCUGGGUAAAGUUCUCAGAACCAGACCUGUGGAGGAUAGAUGGUUUUCAGACUCUGGAUUCUUUUGAUGUCAGAGGCAUAAGUAGCAUU